rnacentral:rRNA from 1 species
AAAAAGCUCGUAGUUGAAUUUCGGGGUNAGUAGGUUGGUCAUGCCUCUGGUAUGUACUGGUCUCACUGAUUCCUCCUUCCUGAUGAACCGUAAUGCCAUUAAUUUGGUGUUGCGGGGAAUNUGGACUGUUACUUUGAAAAAAUUAGAGUGUUUAAAGCANGCUAACGCUUGAAUACAUUAGCAUGGAAUAAUGAAAUAGGACGUUNGAUCCUAUUUUGUUGGUUUCUAGGAUUGACGUAAUGAUUAAUAGGGAUAGUUGGGGGCAUUAGUAUUCAAUUGUCAGAGGUGAAAUUCUUGGAUUUAUUGAAGACUAACUACUGCGAAAGCAUUUGCCAAGGAUGUUUUCAUUAAUCAAGAACGAAAGUUAGGGGAUCGAAGACGAUCAGAUACCGUCGUAGUCUUAACCAUAAACUAUGCCGACUAGGGAUCGGAUGAUGUUAAUUUUUUAAUGACUCA